rnacentral:tRNA from 1 species
CGAGGCGUAGCGCAGUCCGGUAGCGCACAUGUCUGGGGGACAUGGGGUCGCAAGUUCAAAUCUUGUCGCCUCGACCA